UAGGACCUUCGGGGCAGGGUGAAAAUCCCGACCGGCGGUGAAGGCUCGCUCAGAGCUUAAGCCCGCGACUCGUCGAUUUCGGUGCGAAAUGACGACUGACUUGGUGCAAUUCCAAGGCCGACGGUAUAGUCCGGAUGGGAGAAGGUCACA
rnacentral:ncRNA from 2 species